UACGAAGGGGGCGAGCGUUGUUCGGAAUCACUGGGCGUAAAGGGCGCGUAGGCGGCCCUCCUAGUCGCGUGUGAAAGCCCCGGGCUCAACCUGGGAACGGCGCGCGAAACGGGGGGGCUGGAGUUCGGGAGAGGAGCGUGGAAUUCCCAGUGUAGCAGUGAAAUGCGUAGAGAUCGGGAGGAACAUCAGUUGCGAAGGCGGCUCUCUGGACCAGCACUGACACUGAGGCACGAAAGCGUGGGGAGCAAACAGG
rnacentral:rRNA from 1 species